rnacentral:rRNA from 1 species
UCGGGAAUUUUGGGCAAUGGGGGAAACCCUGACCCAGCAACGCCGCGUGAAGGAUGAAGUAUUUCGGUAUGUAAACUUCGAAAGAAUAGGAAGAAUAAAUGACGGUACUAUUUAUAAGGUCCGGCUAACUACGUGCCAGCAGCCGCGGUAAUACGUAGGGACCAAGCGUUGUUCGGAUUUACUGGGCGUAAAGGGCGCGUAGGCGGCAUGACAAGUCACUUGUGAAAUCUCUGGGCUUAACCCAGAACGGCCAAGUGAUACUGUCGCGCUAGAGUGCAGAAGGGGCAAUCGGAAUUCUUGGUGUAGCGGUGAAAUGCGUAGAUAUCAAGAGGAACACCUGAGGUGAAGACGGGUUGCUGGGCUGACACUGACGCUGAGGCGCGAAAGCCAGGGGAGCAAACGGGAUUAGAUACCCCAGUAUUCCCUGAGCGGGCUGGCAAGGCGCAU